GACGAACGCUGGCGGCGUGCCUAAUACAUGCAAGUAGAACGCUGAAGGAGGAGCUUGCUUCUCUGGAUGAGUUGCGAACGGGUGAGUAACGCGUAGGUAACCUGCCUGGUAGCGGGGGAUAACUAUUGGAAACGAUAGCUAAUACCGCAUAAGAGUAGAUGUUGCAUGACAUUUGCUUAAAAGGUGCACUUGCAUCACUACCAGAUGGACCUGCGUUGUAUUAGCUAGUUGGUGGGGUAACGGCUCACCAAGGCGACGAUACAUAGCCGACCUGAGAGGGUGAUCGGCCACACUGGGACUGAGACACGGCCCAGACUCCUACGGGAGGCAGCAGUAGGGAAUCUUCGGCAAUGGACGGAAGUCUGACCGAGCAACGCCGCGUGAGUGAAGAAGGUUUUCGGAUCGUAAAGCUCUGUUGUAAGAGAAGAACGAGUGUGAGAGUGGAAAGUUCACACUGUGACGGUAUCUUACCAGAAAGGGACGGCUAACUAC
rnacentral:rRNA from 1 species